GAUGAACGCUAGCGGCAGGCCUAAUACAUGCAAGACGAACGGUAAGUUUGAUAGCAAUAUUGAACCUAGAGUGUCGUAAGGGUGCGUAACACGUAUGCAAUCUACCCUCAACAGGAGGAUAGCUCCCCGAAAGGGGAAUUAACACUCCAUAAGAUCACAGGAUGGCAUCAUUCAGUGAUUAAAACUCCGGUGGUUGAGGAUGAGCAUGCGCAUGAUUAGUUAGUUGGCGGGGUAAUGGCCCACCAAGACGAUGAUCAUUAGGGGAACUGAGAGGUUGAUCCCCCACACUGGCACUGAGAUACGGGCCAGACUCCUACGGGAGGCAGCAGUAGGGAAUAUUGGACAAUGGGUGCGAGCCUGAUCCAGCCAUGCCGCGUGCAGGAAGACGGCCUUCUGGGUUGUAAACUGCUUUUGCCAGGGAUAAAAGCCAAUGCGUGGUCAAUUGAAGGUACCUGGUGAAUAAGCCACGGCUAACUA
rnacentral:rRNA from 1 species